UACGUAGGGGGCGAGCGUUGUCCGGAUUUAUUGGGCGUAAAGAGCUCGUAGGCGGCUUGGCAAGUCGGGUGUGAAAACUCCAGGCUCAACCUGGAGAUGCCACUCGAGACUGCUAUGGCUAGAGUCCGGUAGGGGACCACGGAAUUCCUGGUGUAGCGGUGAAAUGCGCAGAUAUCAGGAGGAACACCGGUGGCGAAGGCGGGUCUCUGGGCCGAUAUUGACGCUGAGGAGCGAAAGCGUGGGGAGCGAACAGG
rnacentral:rRNA from 1 species